rnacentral:rRNA from 1 species
UACGUAGGUGGCAAGCGUUGUCCGGAUUUACUGGGCGUAAAGAGCGCGCAGGCGGUCGUUCAAGUCGCGUGUGAAAGCCCCCGGCUCAACUGGGGAGGGUCACGCGAUACUGAUCGACUCGAAGGCAGGAGAGGGUAGUGGAAUUCCCGGUGUAGUGGUGAAAUGCGUAGAUAUCGGGAGGAACACCAAUUGCGAAGGCAGCUCGCUGGGACGUUACUGACGCUGAGACGCGAAAGCGUGGGGAGCAAACAGGG